rnacentral:rRNA from 1 species
GAUGAACGCUAGCGGCAGGCCUAACACAUGCAAGUCGAGGGGUAGGGCAGCAAUGCCUGAGACCGGCGCACGGGUGCGUAACGCGUAUGCAAUCUACCUUCAACAGGGGGAUAGCCCAGAGAAAUUUGGAUUAAUACCCCAUAGUAUUAUCGAAUGGCAUCACUUGAUUAUUAAAGUUCCAACGGUUGAAGAUGAGCAUGCGUCCUAUUAGCUUGAUGGUAAGGUAACGGCUUACCAUGGCUACGAUAGGUAGGGGUCCUGAGAGGGAGAUCCCCCACACUGGUACUGAGACACGGACCAGACUCCUACGGGAGGCAGCAGUGAGGAAUAUUGGACAAUGGGCGCAAGCCUGAUCCAGCCAUGCCGCGUGCAGGAAGACGGUCCUAUGGAUUGUAAACUGCUUUUGUACGGGAAGAAACACUCCUACGUGUAGGAGCUUGACGGUACCGUAAGAAUAAGGAUCGGCUAACUCCGUGCCAGCAGCCGCCGUAAAAC